rnacentral:lncRNA from 1 species
AGAUCCUCAAAUAUCUCAGGAAGCGAUCGAACAGCUAAAGAAGGAACAAGGAGUUAUCCAAGCGUUAAACAAACGCCUAGAAGAACUACAAGAUCUUGCUAAAGAACAAGAAGCUACAAUUCGAGAUCUCGAACAGGAGGGAGAUGACUUGAGGGCUGAGCUUAGAGAAGGCAAAGAUGUACAAGAGAAGCUAGAGGAUAUGGAGCAGAAAUUAGAAUGU